AGGAUAAACGCUGGCGGCGUGCCUAACACAUGCAAGUCGAACGCGCUUUUUCGCAAGAGGAGAGCGAGUGGCGGACGGGUGAGUAACACAUGGGUACCUACCUUGGAGUGAGGGAUACCGGCGAGAAAUCGCCGACAAUACCGCAUACGCUUCUCUUCACCGGGAAGCAAAGUUGCGCAAGCGACGCUCUGAGAUGGGCCUGUGGCCGAUUAGCUAGUUGGUGGGGUAACGGCCUACCAAGGCGACGAUCGGUAGCUGGUCUGAGAGGACGAUCAGCCACACUGGGAUUGAGAACGGCCCAGACUCCUACGGGGGCAGCAGUGAGGAAUUUUCCGCAAUGGACGCAAGUCUGACGGAGCAACGCCGCGUGCAGGAUGAAGGUUUUCGGAUCGUAAACUGCUUUUCGUCGGGGACGAGCAAGGACGGUACCCGAGGAAGAAGCCCCGGCUAACUACGCGUCAGCAGCCGCGGUAA
rnacentral:rRNA from 1 species